rnacentral:rRNA from 1 species
UACGGAGGGAGCUAGCGUUGUUCGGAAUUACUGGGCGUAAAGCGCACGUAGGCGGCUACUCAAGUCGGGGGUGAAAGCCCGGGGCUCAACCCCGGAACUGCCCUCGAAACUAGGUAGCUAGAAUCUUGGAGAGGUCAGUGGAAUUCCGAGUGUAGAGGUGAAAUUCGUAGAUAUUCGGAAGAACACCAGUGGCGAAGGCGGCUCACUGGACUGGUAUUGAGCGCUGAGGUGCGAAAGCGUGGGGAGCAAACAGGG